CCCAGCCCUCUCUCCUCAGGCUGUCUUUUCUCCCCUGCUCUUCUCUGCGGUGGUUUCUUUCCUUCCUCUCCGAGGUGGCUUCUCUUUCCUGAGAGAAUGAGCACCAACUGUGUUCAAAGCGUCCCCGCCUCAGUUCUCUCCUCCCCCCUCCCUUCUUGCUUGCUCUCUCUACCGGGAAAGGGAGGGGCACUAAUGAAGCACCAGCUGUGUGCCGCCUCUCCUUAAACCCCUCCUUAAACCUUGUGCUCUCGCCCUCGCCUUGCUCUUCCUUCCCAGCAGUGGAUGCUCUCGGUUCCGGCGGGAGGCGUCUGUAGAAGAGCCCCAGCUCCUUCCCUCACGGUGCUGGGCAGAGAAACGAGACGACCGAUUGGGCGAGAAGCACCGCAGCGCAGGGAGGACCUCGCCCGACCCCCACUUCGCCGAUAAGAAACCAGGCGCCUCGCGGUCCCGAGGACCAGCAUCCGCCGGGACAGAGGCUUCGCGGGAGCCCCGACCUUGGCCAAGGACCGCCAGCGCCCCCUGCAGGGAACCGCACGGACCUGCAGGAGCAGCGUUCUCAGCCCGGCUGGGCUUCCGUCGCCACCUACUGGCAAGGGAGGAAACUGCAGCCGAGCUCCCGCAGACCCGGGAUCGUGCACAGGAGAGAGAGGCCCCUGCCUGGGGCUGGGGAGAGGCUGCUGGUGGGAGAAGGGGACAGGCAGGAUCUGCAAAAUUCUGGAAACAUUAAAGAUUGUCCCUUAACCAGUACGUAAGCACGGUACGCGGCAAGUUGCUUGGUCGCCGGCGUAAACCUCCAGCUGCGCGAGCGUUUGCUGUCGAGCUCCGCUCUCCCGCCGCCCUAGAAACGCGGUGACCGCUGUGGGAAAGGGCGAGUGGGAUAUGGUUUCAAAACUUGCUGCCCUGGAGCCUACCUGUAGGAGUGGGGCCACGCUGAGUUUCCCUUCAGAAAUGGAGGGUGGGUGCAAGCAGAGGUAAAGGGCUGACAGGCCCCAAGCCUCGCCGAGUCUCCCCUAGGACGCCUAACACAGAAAACUCUAGAAUUGUUUCCAGGAGCUACCUGCUGCAACACACAAUUCGGAGUGGUAAACAUUCUUUAAAGCCUUGCUCAGUGGGUUAAGGAUCCAGCAUUGCUGUGAGCUGUGGUGUGGGCUGCAGAUGUGGCUCAGACCCCGUGUUACUGUGGCUGUGGCUCCAGUUCCACACUAGCCUGGGAACCUCCAUAUGCCACAGGUAAGACCCUAAAAAAAAAAAAAAAGGUAAAAGGUUGCUUAUCAAGUAACUAUUUUAAAAAUUUUUAUUCUGGCCACAACCACGGCAUGCAGACGUUCCCAGGCCAGGGAUCCAACCUGAGCCACAGGGGUUCCUUUUGUGGCUCAGCGGUAAUGAACACGACUAGCAUCCAUGAGGACACGGGUUCAGUCCCUGGCCUUGCUCAGUGGGUUAAGGAUCGGCGCUGCAAUGAGCUGUGCUGUAGGUCACAGAUGCUUCUCGGAUCCUGAGUAGCUGUGGCUGUGGUGUAGACUGGCAGCUCCAAUUCGACCCCUAGCCUGGGAACUUCCAUAUGCUACAGGUGCAGCCCUAAAAAGCAAAACAAACAAAAAAGAACCCUGAACCACAGCAGUGACAACUCGGAUCCUUAACUCCGAGCCACCAGAGACUGUUUUAAAUAUACCCAAAUGACAACAAGGAACCCUAGGUUUGCAGAGGGGAGGUUCCUCAGUGCCACA
ensembl:lncRNA